rnacentral:rRNA from 1 species
UACGUAGGUGGCAAGCGUUGUCCGGAUUUACUGGGCGUAAAGAGCGCGCAGGCGGUCGUUCAAGUCGCGUGUGAAAGCCCCCGGCUCAACUGGGGAGGGUCACGCGAUACUGAUCGACUCGAAGGCAGGAGAGGGUAGUGGAAUUCCCGGUGUAGUGGUGAAAUGCGUAGAUAUCGGGAGGAACACCAGUGGCGAAGGCGGCUACCUGGCCUGUUCUUGACGCUGAGGCGCGAAAGCGUGGGGAGCGAACAGG